UACGAAGGGUGCAAACGUUGCUCGGAAUUAUUGGGCGUAAAGCGCACGUAGGCGGCAUUGCAAGUCGAUGUGAAAUCCCUCGGCUUAACCAAGGAAGUGCAUCCGAAACUGCAGUGCUUGAGUACUUAAGAGGAUCGCGGAAUUCCCGGUGUAGAGGUGAAAUUCGUAGAUAUCGGGAGGAACACCAGUGGCGAAGGCGGCGAUCUGGGAAGAUACUGACGCUGAGGUGCGAAAGCGUGGGGAGCAAACAGGG
rnacentral:rRNA from 1 species